rnacentral:rRNA from 1 species
GACGAACGCUGGCGGCGUGCUUAACACAUGCAAGUCGAACGGUGAACCUCUUCGGAGGGGAUCAGUGGCGAACGGGUGAGUAACACGUGGGCAACCUGCCCCCGGCUCUGGGAUAACUCCAAGAAAUUGGGGCUAAUACCGGAUGUUCACCGCUUCCCGCAUGGGUGGUGGUGGAAAGGGUUUCCGGCUGGGGAUGGGCCCGCGGCCUAUCAGCUUGCUGGUGGGGUAGUGGCCUACCAAGGCGACGACGGGUAGCCGGCCUGAGAGGGUGACCGGCCACACUGGGACUGAGACACGGCCCAGACUCCUACGGGAGGCAGCAGUGGGGGAUAUUGCGCAAGGGGCGGAAGCCUGACGCAGCGACGCCGCGUGGGGGAUGGCGGCCUUCGGGUUGUAGACCUCUUGCAGCAGGGACGAAGCGCAAGUGACGGGACCUGCAGAAGAAGGCCCGGCCAACUACGUG